CAAGUAAAGUGGGGCAAAUGAUCCAAUCUCCCAAAAGUUGCGAGCUAGGUCUCCUCUUCCGAUCCCGUCGGCUCGCAUUUCCCCUCUCUCCGCCGCUCUCUCUCCCAUCCGCUGCCGCAUCUCCUCUUCGCCGGUGCCAAGGAGAAGAACAAGAGAUCAGCUAGCUAGAGGAAGAAGAACAAGAGAGACAACCUAGUUUUGUUUUGUAUUUGUGCUGUUGGGAUCAAGAGAUCAGCUAGCUAGAGCAGAUAUACAGUAAAAAGUGCCUUUGGAGGUCGGAGCUAGCUGUUCUGUGUGUAUGUAUGCAAAAUAUAGGACCUCAUGAAUGUUGACAAUGGAGUACACAUAGUAGUACAUGGAUUUUCAUUUGUUUUCUUUCCCUGUUUAGCUGCCUCUUUGAUUCAAAGGAUCUUCAUAUGAAAUUUGCAAGAGUCAGGAUAUUAUGAUUUCUUAUCUACUCCCUCCGUUCCUAAAUA